rnacentral:rRNA from 1 species
AGAGUUUGAUCCUGGCUCAGGAUAAACGUUGGCGGUGUGCUUUAUGCAUGCAAGUCGUACGAGGCUAUAGUUUUCGGAUUAUAGUUUAGUGGCAAAUGGCUGAGUAAUACAUAGGUAACCUGCCUGUGAGUGGUGGAUAACUUGCUGAAAGGCAAGCUAAUACAGCAUGUGGUGAACAAGGAUUUCUUGUUUAUCAAAGCCUUCGGGCGCUCGCAGAGGGGCCUAUGCCUGAUUAGCUAGUUGGUGAGGUAACGGCUCACCAAGGCUUUGAUCAGUAGCUGGUCUGAGAGGAUGGUCAGCCAGAUGGGGACUGAGAUACGGCCCCAACUCCUACGGGAGGCAGCAGCAUGAAUAUUGGGCAAUGGGCGAAAGCCUGACCCAGCGACACCGCGUGAGGGAUUAAGGCCUUCGGGUUGUAAACCUCUUUUCUCGAGGAAGAAGCUCUGACGGUACUCGAGGAAUAAGCCACGGCUAACUACGUGCCAGCAGCCGCGGUAAUACGUAGGUGGCAAACGUUGUCCGGAUUUAUUGGGCGUAAAGAGAGUGUAGGCGGCUUAUUAAGUCAAGUGUUAAAUCUUCUGACUCAAUCAGGAGCUGCAUUUGAUACUGGUAGGCUUGAGUGCAGCAGAGGAAAACGGAAUUCCCAGUGUAGCGGUGAAAUGCGUUGAUAUUGGGAAGAACACCAGAGGCGAAGGCGGUUUUCCAGGCUGUCUGACGCUGAGACUCGAAAGCGUGGGGAGCGAAGCGGAUUAGAUACCCGCGUAGUCCACGCCUUAAACGGUGGACAUUAGGUAUGGGAAGUAUCGACCCUUUCUGUGCCGUAGCUAACGCUUUAAAUGUCCCGCCUGGGGAGUACGGUCGCAAGGCUAAAACUCAAAGGAAUUGACGGGGGUCCGCACAAGCAGCGGAGCGUGUGGUUUAAUUCGAUGAUACACGAAGAACCUUACCAGGGUUUGACAUGUCAGAAGUAGGAAGCCAAAAGGUUUACGACCUGUAUCCAAUCAGGAACUGUCACAGGUGCUGCAUGGCUGUCGUCAGCUCGUGCCGUGAGGUGUUGGGUUAAGUCCCGCAACGAGCGCAACCCUUGUUCUAUGUUAAUUUCUCAUAGAAGACUGCCUUGUACAGCAAGGAGGAAGAGGAGGAUGACGUCAAGUCAGCAUGGCCUUUAUGCCCUGGGCUACACGCACGCUACAAUGGGUAAUACAGAGGGUUGCCAAAGAGCGAUCUGGAGCUAAUCCCUUAAAAUUAUCCUCAGUUCAGAUUGUAGGCUGAAACCGCCUGCAUGAAGUCGGAGUUGCUAGUAAUCGCAGGUCAGCUAUACUGCGGUGAAUACGUUCUCGGACCUUGUACACACCGCCCGUCACGUCGUGGAAGUUGGAAACACCUGAAGUCAAUGUGUUAACUUGCUUAGGUAAGAAAUAGUUGUUGAAGGUGGAGCUGAUAACUGUGGCGAAGUCGUAACAAGGCA